AAAGGGGAUCAGAAGCUCACAUCUCUUCAGUUUCACCAUAAACCAUGUUUUCUGUAGCUCUGCUGCUGCUGUUGGCAGCUGGAUCCUGUGUGAAGUGUGAACAGUUGACACAGCCAGCCUCUGUGACUGUGCAGCCAGGUCAACGUCUCACCAUCACCUGUCAGGUCUCUUAUUCUCUUAGCAGCUACUACACACAUUGGAUCAGACAGCCUGUAGGGAAAGCAAUGGAGUGGAUCAGUAGGGACUCAAGCAUCAAAGAUUCACUAAAGAGCAGGUUCAGUGUCAAUUUAGACUCUUCCAGCAACAGAGUGACUCUAAAUGGACAGAAUGUGCAGCCUGAAGACUCUGCUGUGUAUUACUGUGCCAGAGAGAUUAGGCUACAGGGAUACUUUGACUACUGGGGAAAAGGAACAAUGGUGACUGUCACAUCAGCAACAUCAACUGCUCCAACUGUGUUUCCUCUGAGCCCAUGUAGUUCUGGAACUGGAGACAUGAUCAGUCUUGGCUGCCUUGCCACCGGCUUCACACCUUCCUCACUGACUUUCACAUGGGACAAAAAUGGGGCUGCCUUGACGGACUUCAUUCAGUACCCUCCUGUACAGAAAGGAAAUGUCUACACAGGAGUCAGUCAGAUCCAAGUGAGAAAACAGGACUGGAAUGACAAGACAAAUUUCAAGUGUACUGCUACACAUCCUGCGGGAACUGAUGGAGCUAUACUUAAACCACCAACGGUUUUGUCUCAAUUGCCAAUCAGUCUUAAAGUGUUGGCCUCCUCUAAUGAUGAAAAGGAGGCAUCCUUCUCCUGCUAUGCUAAAGAUUUUUCACCAAAAGAUUAUGACAUCAAAUGGCUGAAAAGUGGAGAGGAAAUCAACAACAAAAUAUACGAGAUCAAAACGCCAACUACAACAAAUUUGAAGAAUGGAACUAAGCUGUACAGUGCAGCAAGUUUUCUCACAGUGCCAUCCCAGGAUUUGCUUCCUCAAACUGAGUUUACAUGCGAGUUCAAGGGGAAAAAGGAUAACGGAUAUCAAUUCACUAAUUCAUCUGUGAUCUACAACAAAAGAACAUCUCCAGAAUGUAAUGCACCAGAUGUGGAGAUAAAGAUUGAAGGCCCCAAAGUAGAGGAUCUGUUUUUACAUGGAAAAGGAACUAUAACAUGUAAAGUCAACGAGCAAGGUGUUGACAAGAUUUUUUGGGAGGACCAGUACGGAAACGAAAUGACUGGAGCCUUGCAGGGCCCCUUCAAUGGAAAACCAUUGAGCCUUCCGCUUGACAUCUCAUAUGACGAAUGGAGCAAUGGGGUAAAGCGCAACUGUGUUGUUGAACAUGAAAAUUUCCAGGAACCACUCAAGAAACUCUAUGAAAGGAAUACCGGAGGAGAGACUCAGCGUCCUUCAGUAUUUAUGCUGCCACCAGUAGAACACACUAGAACAGAAACAGUGACCCUGACUUGCUAUGUGAAAGACUUCUUCCCUCAUGAGGUUUUCGUGUCUUGGCUUGUUGAUGACGAGGCAGCCUCAGACUCAAAAUACAAGUUCAGUACCACAAACCCUGUAAAAAACAAUGGAUCCUAUUCUGCUUAUGGCCAGUUAUCACUCGGCCUUGAUGAGUGGAAAAACAAUAACAUGGUGUAUAGCUGUGUAGUUUACCACCAAUCUGUGGUUAACAAUAUUAAAGCCAUUGUCAGAUCCAUUGGGCAAAGAACAUCUGAAAACACCAACCUGGUCAACCUCAACAUGAACAUCCCUGAAACGUGCAAGGCCCAUUAGAUGUUAUUUUGUGUUGCUGUGUCCUCUGCUGUUUGUUGUUUAAUGUCCGUUGCUUGUGAUACGACAUUGUGUUUGUCUUUUUAAUGCAGAUUCAAAAU